AUUGAACGCUGGCGGCAGGCCUAACACAUGCAAGUCGAGCGGAGCGGCGGACGGGUGAGUAAUGCCUAGGAAACUGCCUGGUAGUGGGGGAUAACGUCCGGAAAAGGGCGCUAAUACCGCAUACUAUCAGAUGAGACUAGGUCGGAUUAGCUAGUUGGUGGGGUAAAGGCCUACCAAGGCGACGAUCUGUAGCGGGUCUGAGAAGAUGAUCCGCAACACUGGUACUGAUACACGGCCCAGACUCUUACGUGAUGCCGCAGUGGGGAAUAUUGGACAAUGGGGGGAACUCGGAUCCAUCCAUGCCGCGGGUGUUACGAAGGCCUUAUGGUUGUAAAGCACUUUAAUCGAGGAGGCGUUACUCGCAUAAUAAGCACCGGCUAACUCUGUGCCAGCAGCCGCGGUAAUAC
rnacentral:rRNA from 1 species